GGCCUUGCACUGAGGAAAUGCAUUCUGGUACUACUUACUCAGUCCGAGACAAAUUUUUUAAAGUUUAGAAAUGUUUAUUUGAAAAACAAAUGUUUCGCGCACCCAGGUGUUGCACAGGAAGUUGCAUGCCCCGUGUUACUCUGUCAGCCAUUGUCAUGUUAGUUUUGGGUACAUGCAUGUCCCGAUUCCCCAGCUGUGUUCUUACAGGGCCACUUCUGCAGCUUCAAACUGCCUGCAGACUCUGGAGCUCAGCCUGGGAGAGAUGCUCAGAAGGUGUGAAAUUGAUGCUGAACAAACAGCUAACCUUAGAGACGGCUUAGUCAGAAUCAGGCACUACUCUCAGCACUUUCACAAUAUUACUUCAUCUCAUCUCAACAACUGUGUGAGUUCGAAACUACUAUUGUCCCCAUUUUCUAGGUGAGGGUCAGAGGACUGAGUGAGGCUCAGUGGGUUCUAGCAGUGGGGACAAGGCUGAACAAUGGGAGGAAUAGUUCUGAGCAGCAGGACAGCAUGGUGGCCAGAGGCCUGGUCCCAGAGGCCUGAUCCCAGGUGGGUGCGGAUGCCUGCCAACCGUGACCUUGACUUUGUUCAUUUCAUGUCCAGUGGCAUUUUGCGGGGUGGGGAGGAGCAUGCACUCUAGGCAGACCUGGUCAGAUGUGGGGAGCCUUGAGCAAGCACUUCUUUUCUGUGAGCCUCAGUUUCCCCAGCUGUGAAAUGGGAAGAGCUAUACUUUAUAGUUGGGAAAAAUGAAUGGAAUUGUUGGGGAGAGAGCUUUGCACUGGGGGCUAGAUCAAUGCUGCAUUUUCCAGUUUGGGUCACAUCGGGGCCUUCCUCUCUCCCUUGGCUGGUGAAGAGUAGGCUCAUAAGGCCUGGGGGCCUCAGCCUGAGCCCUCGCUGUGCCAGGCACUGGGCCACACUUGGCACUGGGGAGACCCCGUGCCUGAGCCCUUGCUGCACCAGGCACUGGGCCAUACUCAGUGUUGAUGCUGAGGAGUCCCCAUGCCUCUGGGUACUUGGGGGGCUAGCACCCCUCAUUUCACCCCUGUUACCCACAUGCCUGGCUCCCUCCAGUGCCGCCCCUCCUGAGCACCUUCCUUGUGCUUGGAGCCAGGGAACAAAGAUGGAUAAGACCCAGCUGCUGCCCCCAGGACUCCUGGUCUCAUGGGAAACCCAGAACUGUAUCAGAUGACAGCACAGCUUUGGAGGUGAUCUCGGGAUGCUGGGGGAACCCCAUGGACAAGCAGAAAAUAAAAUGCUGCCUUCUCCUCCAAGCAAGGAAUGGCUUCAGGGAAAAUACUUACAACACCAUGCUAAGGUGGUGUUGACAUCUAUGAUUCUCUACACAGUCUGCAUGGAACCCCGUGGCUGCGGUUGAGUGCCUUCAGGAAAGGAACUGGGGGCCAUGGAUGGGAGAGACUGACUUUUUGGUAUAUAUCCUUUUAUGUGGUUUGCUUUAAAAAACAAACAAACAAACAAAAACAAAACAAAAACCCGGCGGGGUGCGGUGGCUCAUGCCUAUAAUCCCAGCACUUUGGGAAGCUGAGGCAGAUGGAUCACGAGGUCGAGAGAUCGAGACCAUCCUGGCUAACACGGUGAAACCCUGUCUCUACUAAAAAUACAAAAACUUAGCCAGGUGUGGUGGCGUGCACCUGUAGUCCCAGCUACUUGGGAGGCUGAGGCAGGAGAAUCACUUGAACCUGAGAGGCGGAGGUUGCAGUGAGCUGAAAUUGCACCACUGCACUCCAGCCUGUGGGACAGAGCGAGACUCCGUUUCAAAAAAAUAAAAAAAACAAAAAA
ensembl:lncRNA